rnacentral:rRNA from 1 species
UUCGCCCUUAGAGUUUGAUCCUGGCUCAGGACGAACGCUGGCGGCGUGCUUAAUACAUGCAAGUCGAACGGAGUUAAGGGUUUCGGCCUUUAACUUAGUGGCGAACGGGUGAGUAACGCGUGAAUAACCUGACUCAAAGAGGGGGAUAACAACGGGAAACUGUUGCUAAUACCGCAUGAGACCACAACACCGCAUGAUGAAGGGGUCAAAGAUUUAUCGCUUUGAGAGGGGUUCGCGUCCCAUUAGGUAGUUGGAGGGGUAACGGCCCACCAAGCCAACGAUGGGUAGCCGAGCUGAGAGGCUGAUCGGCCACACUGGAACUGAGACACGGUCCAGACUCCUACGGGAGGCAGCAGUAGGGAAUAUUGGGCAAUGGGCGCAAGCCUGACCCAGCAACACCGCGUGAGGGAAGAAGGUUUUCGGAUUGUAAACCUCUGUCCUAUGUGACGAAGGAAGUGACGGUAGCAUAGGAGGAAGCCCCGGCUAACUACGUGCCAGCAGCCGCGGUAAUACGUAGGGGGCGAGCGUUGUCCGGAAUUACUGGGCGUAAAGGGUGCGUAGGCGGUUUGGUAAGUUGGAUGUGAAAUACCCGGGCUUAACUUGGGGGCUGCAUCCAAUACUGUCGGACUUGAGUGCAGGAGAGGAGAGCGGAAUUCCUAGUGUAGCGGUGAAAUGCGUAGAUAUUCGGAGGAACACCAGUGGCGAAGGCGGCCUGCUGGGCUUUAACUGACGCUGAGGCUCGAAAGUGUGGGGAGCAAACAGGAUUAGAUACCCUGGUAGUCCACACUGUAAACGAUGAUUGCUAGGUGUGGGGGGUCUGACCCCUUCCGCGCCGGAGUUAACGCAAUAAGCAAUCCACCUGGGGAGUACGGCCGCAAGGUUGAAACUCAAAGGAAUUGACGGGGGCCCGCACAAGCAGUGGAUUAUGUGGUUUAAUUCGACGCAACGCGAAGAACCUUACCAGGUCUUGACAUCCAACGAAUCCUUAAGAGAUUAGGGAGUGCCUUUCGGGGAACGUUGAGACAGGUGGUGCAUGGUUGUCGUCAGCUCGUGUCGUGAGAUGUUGGGUUAAGUCCCGCAACGAGCGCAACCCCUGCCAUUAGUUGCUACGCAAGAGCACUCUAAUGGGACCGCUACCGACAAGGUGGAGGAAGGUGGGGACGACGUCAAAUCAUCAUGCCCCUUAUGACCUGGGCUACACACGUAAUACAAUGGCCGUUAACAACGGGAGGCAAAACCGCGAGGUAGAGCAAAACCCUAAAAACGGUCCCAGUUCGGAUCGCAGGCUGCAACCCGCCUGCGUGAAGUUGGAAUUGCUAGUAAUCGCGGAUCAGCAUGCCGCGGUGAAUACGUUCCCGGGCCUUGCACACACCGCCCGUCA